GCUAGUAAUGGCAGGUCAGCAUACUGCCGUGAAUACGUUCCCGGGCCUUGUACACACCGCCCGUCACACCAUGAGAGUUGGGGAUACCCGAAGCCUGUGAGCUAACAUUAUGAGGCAGCAGUCGAAGGUAGAAUCAAUGAUUGGGGUGAAGUCGUAACAAGGUAGC
rnacentral:rRNA from 1 species